rnacentral:rRNA from 1 species
UACGUAGGGUGCAAGCGUUAAUCGGAAUUACUGGGCGUAAAGGGUGCGCAGGCGGCGUCGCAAGUCAGGCGUGAAAUCCCCGGGCUUAACCUGGGGACUGCACUUGAAACUACGAUGCUGGAGUAUGGCAGAGGGAGGUGGAAUUCCACGUGUAGCGGUGAAAUGCGUAGAGAUGUGGAGGAACACCGAUGGCGAAGGCAGCCUCCUGGGCCAAUACUGACGCUCAUGCACGAAAGCGUGGGGAGCAAACAGG